rnacentral:rRNA from 1 species
GACGAAGGGGGCUAGCGCUGUUCGGAAUUACUGGGCGUAAAGCGCGUGUAGGCGGUUGUCCAAGUCGGGUGUGAAAGCCUUGAGCUCAACUCAAGAAAUGCACUCGAUACUGGGUGACUUGAGGACCGGAGAGGAUAGUGGAAUUCCCAGUGUAGUGGUGAAAUACGUAGAGAUUGGGAAGAACACCAGUGGCGAAGGCGGCUAUCUGGACGGUUUCUGACGCUAAGACGCGAAAGCGUGGGGAGCAAACAGG